UGGGGAAUAUUGGACAAUGGGGCAACCCUGAUCCAGCCAUGCCGCGUGAGUGAUGAAGGCCCUAGGGUUGUAAAGCUCUUUUGUGCGGGAAGAUAAUGACGGUACCGCAAGAAUAAGCCCCGGCUAACUUCGUGCCAGCAGCCGCGGUAAUACGAAGGGGCUAGCGUUGCUCGGAAUCACUGGGCGUAAAGGGUGCGUAGGCGGGUUUCUAAGUCAGAGGUGAAAGCCUGGAGCUCAACUCCAGAACUGCCUUUGAUACUGGAAGUCUUGAGUAUGGCGGAGGUGAGUGGAACUGCGAGUGUAGAGGUGAAAUUCGUAGAUAUUCGCAAGAACACCAGUGGCGAAGGCGGCUCACUGGGCCAUUACUGACGCUGAGGCACGAAAGCGUGGGGAGCAAAACAGGAUUAGAUACCCUGGUAGUCCACGCCGUAAAACGAUGAAUGCCAGCCGUUAGUGGGUUUUACUCACUAGUGGCGCAGCUAACGCUUUUAAGCAUUCCGCCUGGGGAGUACGGUCGCAAGAUUAAAAACUUAAAGGAAUUGACGGGGUCAUAGCUG
rnacentral:rRNA from 1 species